UAUAGAUCUUACGCUAAUAGGUGGAUAACUUGGCUUGGAUUGCUGAUGAAGGACGUGGCAAGCUACGAUAUGGUGCGGCGAGAUGCAUGCUAUCUUUGAACCGCACAUUUCCUAAUGUGACUUCACUUUAAAGCCAGUAAUGGCAAGGAACCUGGGGAAUUGAAGCGUCUUAGUACCCAGAGGAAAAGAAAUCAAGAGAGAUGUUGUUAGUAAGGGCGACUGAACACGACACAAGGCAAACUGAAUCCCUCCAGAAAUGGUAGGGAGAUGUGGUGUUAUAGGGCCGAAAUAAGAUCUUCGUCAUUUGAUCCGAACGUACCUGGAAAGGUAGACGAUAAAGGGUGAUAGUCCCGUAGGAGUAAAAUGGAAAGAUUGUUCGAGUCCCUGAGUACUGUUUAUUGGAAAUUAAGCAGGAAUUUAGGAGGCAACUACUUCUAACCUUAAAUACAAUCCAAGACCGAUAGCGAAUAGUACCGUGAGGGAACGUUGAAAAGAACCCGUGACGGGGAGUUAAAAGAGUUUGAAACUUAUUAGUUAUAGUGGGAUGCGGCCUUUAGGGGUUGCAUCGUCCGUUUUGAAUAACGGGCCGGGGAGUUUAUUUGAAUGGCAAGGGUAAUUUUUUUCGAAAAGUACCCAUAGGGAAACCGAUUGCUCGCAGUUUACGAGGAGCGUGGUGUGAAAGUGCCAUUAGUCAUUUGGAUAAGACCCGAAGCCGGUCGAUCUAGUCGUGGGUAAGGUGAAGUGCCAGUAAAAUGGCGUGGAGGCCUGAAGAGGUUCUGUGGACAAGCGUUCUUAUAACCUGUGACUAGGGGUGAAAAGCCAAUCGAGACCGGUGAUAGCUGGUUCCUUCCAAAGUUGGCCGUAGUCAAGCCUGGAUUGAGGUCGUUAAGAAGGUAGAGAGACGAAUUGGGGGCUUAGGGCUUUAAUCGGCUCGGUUCCUUGUUCAACUCCGAAUAUUUUAACACCGUAGACGUCCGGAGACGGGGGCGCGGGGUAAGCCCGUGUUCCGAGAGGGGAACAACCCAGAAUACAGUUAAGGUCCCUAAAUAUUGUUUAAGUGUGAAAGGGUGAAGAGUGUCUAAAGCCUAAGACAGCGAGGAGGUUGGCUUAGAAGCAGCCACCCUAUAAUAAGUGCGUAACAGCUUACUUGUCGAGGUUUUAGGUCUCGAAAAUGGACGGGGCUAAAACAAUUACCGAUACUGUAUUUCUUCUAAAAGAAGAAGGUAGGAAAGGCGUCUGGUUAGGGCAAAAGCAUUUUCGGAAGAAAAUGUGAACCUAAUUGGAAUGAGAAUCCCGGCAAUAGUAGGAUCUGAGUAUUGUUAGAAUCAAUAUCACCGUAAGGGCAAGGGUUCCUUGGCCAUGUCGAUCAGCCAAGGGUAAGUCGAUCCUAACUACCAUCCUAAUUGGAUGUUAUGAGGAAAGGGAAACAGGUUAAUAUUCCUGUACUUACUUUAUAUGAGCGGCAACGCAAGUUUAAUUUCUGACGGUUUGGGCUAAAUAGAAUGUUCUCGUCUGAACAUCUAAUCGAACCAAAUCUGGGGAGUAUCGUCAUGAUGAGAACCAGAUUAAGUUGAGAAUGGCACUUUGUAUGAAGUGUUCUGUUGACGCCUAGAUCCCGUGAAAAAGGAAUUAAAAUAAAUUAAAGUAAUCCGUACCCAGAACCAGCACUGGUGCCCCUAGGUGAGAAGCCUAAGGUGAGAAGGUUUAAUCCAUCUAAGGGAAUUCGGCAAAUUAGUCCCGUACCUUCGGUAUAAGGGAUCCCUAUGCUUGUUAACUGAUGUUUGCGAGCGUAGGGCGCAGUGACUAAGGGGGUCCGACUGUUUAACAAAAACUUAACCAACUGCUAGCCUGUAAAGGUUUGUACAGUUGGUGACGUCUGCCCAGUGCCAGUACUUUAAGCUUUGUUCCAACGAAGUGAAGAGCUGGUAAACGGCGGGAGUAACUAUAACUCUCUUAAGGUAGCGAAAUGCCUUGUCGUUUGAAUGACGACCUGCAUGAAUGGCGUAACGAGAUCCCCACUGUCCCUAGAUGGAAGCCUCCGAAAAUUCUUUUCCGGUGCAAAAGCCGGAGAAUUCCAGUGGGAAGCGAAGACCCCGUGAAACUUUACUGUAGCCUGUGGUUGUAAAGUAGAAUUUAAUGUUCAGUAUAGGUAGGAGUUGCUAAGUUUAAGUCGCUAGGCUUGAAAUAGACAAAAAUGAGAUACUACCCUUUAAAAUUUACUUUGCUUUAUCUCGAAAGAGAGACAGCUAUUGGUGGACAGUUUGGCUGGGGUGGCACCCUGCUGAAAAGAUAUCAGCAGGGCCCAAAGGUUAGCUCAACCGGGUCAGAAAUCCGGUGUAGAGUGCAAGAGCAAAAGCUAGCCUGAUUGGAUCUUCCACAAUAAGAGAUUCAAACACUAAAGUGUGGUCUAGCGAACUUCUAUGUCCUCUUAGUUGGGGGCUAGAAACGACCGAAAAGUUACUCCGGGGAUAACAGAGUUGUCGCGCCCGAGAGCUCCUAUCGACGGCGCGGCUUGCUACAUCGAUGUCGGCUCUUCCUAUCCUGGGCGUGCAGAAGCGCCCAAGGGUGGGGGUGUUCACCCAUUAAAAGGGAUCGUGAGCUGGGUUCAGAACGUUGUGAGACAGUUUGUUUGAUAUCUACUGGAAUUGUUUGGUGUCUGAGAGGAAAAGGCAUCUAGUACGAGAGGAACGAUGGCUUGAUGCCACUGGUGAUCUGUUGUCCGACAGGGCAGGCAGAGUAGCUACGCAUUAAGAGAUAAGAGCUGAAAGCAUCUAAGCUCGAAACUUACCUUGAAAAGAGACACCAUAGAGCUCUCCUAAAAGAGGAGUUUGAUGGGAUCGGUAUGUAAGUGCCAAGCUAACGCGAGGUAUUCAGUGUACGAUUUCCAACCGCUCAUCUCUAUAUUUU
rnacentral:rRNA from 1 species